rnacentral:rRNA from 1 species
UGCAGUCAUACGAGAGUUUUUAACUCAAGUGGCGGACGGGUGAGUAACACGUAAGAAUUUGCCUUUAGGAGGGGGAUAAAACUGGAGGCAGUUGGUAAUACCCCAUAUGCUUUCGAGUAAAAUGGAGUUUUCCGCCUAGAGAGAAGCUUGCGGCUGAUUAGCUUGUUGGUAAGGUAAUGGCUUACCAAGGCGACGAUCAGUAUCUGGUUUGAGAGGGCGAUCAGACACACUGGAACUGAGACACGGUCCAGACUCCUACGGGAGGCAGCAGUGGGGAAUUUUCCGCAAUGGGCGAAAGCCUGACGGAGCAAUACCGCGUGAGGGAUGACGGCCUAUGGGUUGUAAACCUCUUUUUUCAGGGAGGAAUAAAAUGACGUGUACCUGAAGAAUAAGCAUCGGCUAACUCCGUGCCAGCAGCCGCGGUAAUACG